rnacentral:rRNA from 2 species
AGCUCAAAUUUGAAAUCUGGCACCUUCGGUGUCCGAGUUGUAAUUUGAAGAUUGUAACCUUGGGGUUGGCUCUUGUCUAUGUUUCUUGGAACAGGACGUCACAGAGGGUGAGAAUCCCGUGCGAUGAGAUGCCCAAUCCUAUGUAAGGUGCUUUCGAAGAGUCGAGUUGUUUGGGAAUGCAGCUCUAAGUGGGUGGUAAAUUCCAUCUAAAGCUAAAUAUUGGCGAGAGACCGAUAGCGAACAAGUACAGUGAUGGAAAGAUGAAAAGAACUUUGAAAAGAGAGUGAAAAAGUACGUGAAAUUGUUGAAAGGGAAGGGUUUGAGAUCAGACUCGAUAUUUUGUGAGCCUUGCCUUCGUGGCGGGGUGACCCGCAGCUUAUCGGGCCAGCAUCGGUUUGGGCGGUAGGAUAAUGGCGUAGGAAUGUGACUUUGCUUCGGUGAAGUGUUAUAGCCUGCGUUGAUGCUGCCUGCCUAGACCGAGGACUGCGAUUUUAUCAAGGAUGCUGGCAUAAUGAUCCCAAACCGCCCGUCU